CGGAGUAUCCUUCCCAAGUUGUAGUAACCAGCGUGGAUGUGAGGUGACACGACAGUUCCCCUGCUGUACCAUGGGCGACCUACUUGUGAUGUGGACCUGAACCUCCGCCAUGUAGCAGACACCCUCCUCAGGUCUUGCGGAGUAUCCUUCCCAAGUUGCAUUAACCAGCGUGGAUGUGAGGUGACACGACAGUUCCCCUGCUGUACCAUGGGCAACCUACUUGUGAUGUGGACCUGAACCUCCGCCAUGUAGCAGACACCCCCCUCAGGUCUUACGGAGUAUCCUUCCCAAGUUGCAUUAACCAGCGUGGAUGUGAGGUGACACGACAGUUCCCCUGCUGUACCAUGGGCUACCUACCACAAUACCUUCGAUACCACCGCAUCUCUGAAAUGCCCUAUUUUACAUUUCAUGUACUAAUAGUUUAAAGAA